AUCUUCAUUGGCUCGCUGGGUAACCAGGCUGACAGGUUGGUAAAAAAUCUACCAUCUCGCCACGCCUUCCAGUGCCUGGACACUAAGCUGCUACCACAAGUGCUGCAGCAGAUAUUCACCUCUUCCCUACUGAAUACCAGGUAGCAUCUAAAUAGGUGUGUUAUCACGUUCAGCGGAGCACCGGAGUGCCUAAGCGACCGUGCGGUGGUGAAGGACGCCAUGUUGCGAAACGGCACCAAUCGAGUUGUGGAUGAUGUGAAGAUGUGGGGAAGGUCAAUAGGGAAGAACUGGAUCAUAUCAGUUAAUCUUGUUUUAAAAACUGUCGUUUUUCUAGCUCGCUUGGUGAUUUACUUAUUAGACAUUACAUAACAUAUUUAGGAGUACGCUUCAGCCAUUUUUUUUUUUCGCAUUUUUAUCGCUCUAGAGCUUUGAAAGUCGAGAUUUUCCACGUAAACUUGCAGGAAUUCGUGUUUACUACGGUUUUGCUGGCAGCCAACUUGGAUUUGGAGCCUAGUCCCUAAAAUUUAAGAAUAUCACAGGUCUCCCGCGCGCUCGCUUCAGGCUUUUUUAGACCGUUUAUAAAAUAGACAGCCAUUGAUUGAUAUGAAUCAAUAUCUCGUACUUAAUGUGUAGGUAACCAUUUGUCUUUUUAUUUCGAAUUGGGCAAUGAAUAUCUGAAUAAAUAAUAUUUAAUAGAUGA